rnacentral:rRNA from 1 species
UACGAAGGGGGCUAGCGUUGUUCGGAUUUACUGGGCGUAAAGCGCACGUAGGCGGAUCGUUAAGUCGGGGGUGAAAUCCUGGAGCUCAACUCCAGAACUGCCUUUGAUACUGGCAAUCUUGAGUCCGGAAGAGGUGAGUGGAACUCCUAGUGUAGAGGUGGAAUUCGUAGAUAUUAGGAAGAACACCAGUGGCGAAGGCGGCUCACUGGUCCGGUACUGACGCUGAGGUGCGAAAGCGUGGGGAGCAAACAGG